ensembl:lncRNA
CUGGUGUUAGUGGAUUUUUCUUCCAGAAGCUGAAAUUGGGCAACCCUCAAGCCGGGAGUGGAACGAGCAGUGAGAUGUGAUUGCCUGGUGUGCGAGGCAGCCAAAAUACACAGCGACAUCCCUAUCGCUUCAUCUCCCAUCAGGGGUGAACGCCUCUGCUCUCCCCUGUGUGCUCUCCAGCCUGCGUAACACUGACGUUGUGCUGGGCCAGCUGAGUAGGAUAUGGGCAGGAUCAGGCCAGACCGGGUCCAGAAUCACGUUCCUGGCCAGAGCCAGUGCUGGGAGGCAGGAGCAGGAAGUGCUGGUGUGGGAGAUGCUUCCACCUGCCUGGGAUCAGGGUGUCCCUCUGGGCUGUGGCGGCCACCAGAGGUCCCACUGGGGGACAAAGUGGGUGUCUGUGUCGGGCUGGCUGCACAGCCAGUGUGAACACAACCGUGGUGGCAAAUUCUGAUUCCUCACUUGUUCUAAUUCUGGGCCAUUGGUUUAAGUUUCAUUCCUUCCCUCGCUGAAACUGGGGCACUUCUUUCCAGACUUCAGGCUUGCAUUGAUUUCUUUAAGUUCUGCCUUCGUGUUUGGAUUUCUGCAGUUCUCUGUUGUAUUGGAGCCCAGCACAUUCAUAUUUAACUGGGGAAUAAAAGCGUGGGCAGGGGGUACCUCUUCAGACCUGUGUUUUCCUCUGUGUCGUGAAAAGGUACCUCCUCCAUCAGUGUUGCAUCUAAUGGAAGUGCUGCAGAAAAUGGUGGCAUGGGAGACCCAGUGUGGAUGCCCUGUGCCCCAGGCCAGUGGGGUAAGGAGCUGGAAAAGGACUGGGUUUGCCAUAGUACAUUUUUCAAUGAAUGGGAACUUGCAUUUUAAAAGGACAUUAUCUCAUACAAGCUUUGAGCAAAUCAGACCACAGAGAAUUCUCCACACCUUACACCUGCAGCAUCGCUGUGCCAUCCCCAGCAGCACUUGCAAGCUCAAGCUGGGAAACGAUGCAUGGGGUCCUGCAGCAACCCCAGUGAUGCUGAGGCUGUGCCAAACUCUUCUCUUCUGAAGAUGGGGUUCCCAUGGCUGAUUCCUCUGGGGAAGAUGCUGGAUGCGGCAUGGUUCUUGAGGAGAGCUGAAGAAAGAAGGGGACUGCAGGAAUUCACAGUCCAAAAUGAUGACCAAGACUUCCCUGUGAGGGCCUUGACUUCUGCCAUCCCACCCCUGUGGCGGUUCUCCAUGGAAGACCAACAGCAUCUCCCAAAUCUUUCCUAUUGCUCUGAAGAAUAACAGGUAGCUUGCUCCUUGAGCAGUCAGCUUGCUCUUGACACGAUUGCUCUUGGACAAUCAUCUGAGGGCCACUAAUGUCCUGCAAAUCGCAUCUUUCACAUUUUGCAGCAUAUCCCCUUACGGUUCCUCAUGCCCUUGGCUCAGUGUUGGGAUGUUGGAGCUGGAGUGGUGCUGUUGUGCAGCCAGCCUGGCUCCUUUAGCUAACACAAAUCGUGGUUGUCAGGUGCAGUCUGGGAAAACAACAUUUCCAAUUCAAAACAGUGGAUUUCUGAGGUAGGAAAUUCCUGCCCCAUCAAGGACGCAGUAUCUAUCUUCACAGAAGGAUUUCUUUUUGGUUAGAGUAAUCCAUCGUGGCCAUUAGAGCAUCUUUCUUUGUUAACGUCUUGGUGUUGGGGUGAAGCUGAUCAGCCCAAAGGGGCAAAGACAUACUUGGUGAGAUAUCAGCCCAUUGUCUGAUAGUAUGUCUCUGAAGCACCACCAGUGAAGUGUAAAGGCAAUCUGUGGAUGUCAUCAGAGCUGACAGCUCUUUUCAGAGGACAUAUUUAUUUCUUGAUGCUCAGCUUCCAUGUUUACGUGUAAAUCAAUCACAAUUCUUCUUGGAGGAGCUAUAAAUAACACCAAGAGCAAAAAUAUGUUUUCCAGUGGGUUCUUCUUCUUUAAUCCAUGGUAUUAAGCAUGGUUUUCAGGAUAGACCCUUCUCAGGGGCACCCAGAGUCAUAGAAUGGUUGGGUUGGAAGAGACCUCACAGCCCAUCCAAUCCCAACCCCGGCCAUGGGCUGGGCUUUGUUCCUCUAAAAGGGUAUUUUUGUGUUCUGUGCCAGCAUGGACGGUUCACCCUCACUCUAGGCAUGACUGUGGGACAGCUCUCUGUCCCGGGUGCCCCAUGCCAUGUUGAUGUCUGUGGGCUUCCCAGGUUCCCCCUGCCCAAGCAGGAGCAGCCAGGGAAGGAUGGAAACAGUGACCAAGCGAUUCCAAUGUGCUUCAGCAGAAACAAAACAUCGUUUCCAUCGGAAAGUAUUUCAAGGUGCUUCAGACUUCCAAGAUGAAACAAAAUCUUCCCUUGCAAAAAUGUCAGUUCCAGCCAUUGUUCCAGUUUGACUUGUGCGUUCCAAGGAAAACAAAUAGACUUUGACUUGCGAUGUCUCAUGUUGAGAUGGCCAAUUCAAACCAAGCCCUGUCUGCUACACCUUGAGCAUUAGGAGAGGAUCUUGUUGUGAUGGAAAACACUCUUGUUUUUAUUCCAGCCCUUCUGAACAGCACUUUCUGUACCACAG